CGUAUUCACUGCGCCACACCGCCCCGACGAUCACGACAGUCGCACAACGCCAGCAGCAGCGAGGAAAAGAAGAGAUCAGGCGCAGCACGAUAGGUGAGCGUGUGCAGGCGAGAGAAGACAAGGGCUUCGUAGCGAUGCUGUGCACAUCCAUGCGCCGGGCCCAUGCCUGUGUGGCGCACAUCCGCCUGACGUCCUUGUCGACGCCGUACGCGUCGGUGCUGCUCCACAAAACGCCGGCCACGUCUCUGAUCUCCUCCUCGACCACGACCGUCACUGCCGCCGCUGCGGCCUCCUUGCAAGCAUACGCGAUGCCACGACGUUGGCAGUCCUCCGCCACCCCCUACCCAGGCUUGACAAGUGCAGCACCCGAUUCCACCAUGGUGGAGCAGCCGCAGCAGCCUCAGCAGGGCAGCAUUGUCGUCACCUACAGUCCGGGGUCUGGCGCGGCUGGCAAUGGACUGACGCUUCCGACGACAGCGCUCACCGGGCAUUGUGACGUUAUUUCCGAAACGUUGUCCAAGGCUGAUGAGCUGCUGCAGCAGAAGAAGGCGCAAGAGGCGCUUGGUACUGGAGCGGACAUCCUCACCGCGGAAGGUAUUGAUGAGAUGGUUGAAGAGUUGAAGGAGAUCACGACGAGCGAGGUCGAGGUGCUCGUGGGGCAGAUGCGGUCGCCGGCGGUGGUGCAGCAGGCUGGCAUGCACGAGCUGCGCCGCACGCUCUACUACGCCACCUCACUGAAGGCGCGUGACUGGAUUGAGCCGGCGCAGUAUACGUCUCUGAUGCGUGUCUUGACAGUGGAACUGCUGCGCCGCGAUAGUGAGGGCGUCUUGGCGCCAGACGAUGUGCUGUAUGUCACGACGCACAUGAUCACGGCGAACUUCUACAAUCGGCACUUAUGGAAUCGAAUGGAGAAGUCGCUGUUGCUGCGGAACUACGACACGAUUGACAUGGCCACCAUCAAGGCCCUCUCAACGAAGCUCUUCAAGACGCGUCGCGGCUGCGCCAAGGAGACGCUCGACGUGCGGCGGAAGAUCUUGAGUGCGAUGACGCGCCGAGUGGCGGUGCUGGCAAACGAUUUUGAUUUGCCGUCCCUUCUCGGCAUCCUGCAGUGCUACACGAUACAUGACAUGACACCGCCGCCGAUCCAGUCGCUCGCCGUGCGCGCGACAAAUCAUGUGAGCGAGCUCACGCCGCAAGAGUGCGCGACGCUUUCGCAGGUGCUACGCAAGUUCAGUCUUCUUCGCCUCGAGGUGUGCGAGCGGCUUAUCGAGCGCAUCUGCACCGCAGACGAACUCAAUCAACACAUGGUCCACUCUGCUCUGAUAUCGAUCCGCACGUGCUACAACCGCGUCAGCGACUCGGGCCGCAAUGCGCUGCAAGCGGAGCCGACCCGACAGAAGCUGCGAGCCAUGGGGGAGCAGGUGAGCUGCCGCUUGCAAGAAGCCACGUUCCCGACGCUGAACGUAAUACUGAACAUACUCGACAUCGUCGUAAACCUGCGCAUCUACGUGCCGAAGAAGUCCUUGCAGAGCCUCUUUACCCGCGCCCUGGACAUGGUCAAGGUAGUCGUGGAGCAGGAGGAUGAUCUGAUCGACCCUACCACCGGAAAGCGCGUGCGGCCCAUCACGAUGGAGCAAGGCCGUCAGCUGCAUGCGCUCCUGCUGCACUACGGGUCUGAUUUGUGUCCAGAUCUGCAGACGCUGCUUAAGCAGUGCUUCAAGGACGGCCUCCUACCCGAUGAGGCGUCAAUCUAAGGCCCUGUCGGACCUCUGUAUGUGUGUAUGUGGGGAGGGGGACGCUCUGCUGCCUGGCCAUCGCUACUUUGGUCUCACUACGUCCGCCUGCUAGGCCGUGAAGGGGAUGCCGACACAGCUUGUCGUGGUCGCGAGUUAUUCUGUUGUGUGUGCCUUUCGGUGCUUCCUCGCUUCUCGCUCAUUGCUGGGAAGAGGACGUGCGAGCACUAGAAAGAGGCAGAAAGGCGCGCGCGUUGAAGAUGACGUUGUCUUCGUGCGCGUGUGCUUCAGCUUCGGGCCUUCACGGUAGUUAGUGCACACAGCUUCAGCGCGCGCGCUUCGUUGCGCACACGUCGGUUUGUGCCUGUGUGCUCAACUUUCACCACCACCACCACCCCAUCCCGCACCUUUCUUCUCCCUUCAAUGUCGCAGUGAUGGUGACUUGCAAGUCCGUCCCGGUGAAAAAAGGUAAAGCGCGCGCUGAUGCUCGCCAAAAAGGGAAGAAGAGGGACGUUGGGGUGGGUGGGGCGGGGCAUCAUCGCCCUCUUGCGUCUCGCCCAAUUCGUUCGUAAACGUGCCGCCCCUUCUUCACGCAUCAGCUCUCGCGCUUCAUCUCGUCCUCGGCCUGCACCCAUCCUCCAUCCCUUUCCUUCACAAGUGCGAGCAUGGCUGGCGCUGCUUCUAUUGUGGCUGCGCUUUUGUCGGCCAACAGGGAGAAGCGGAGAGAGAGGGGGGAGGGAUGGUUGGCGCGACCAUGGAUACAGUAGAGUGAUCCUGCGUGCCUUCAAAGUGGAUGAGCAGACGGCAGACCGCCCAUCGCCACGUUUGUCGCUGAUGCUUUCGCAUGCUGCUCCCUCCGUCUCCACCUCCCGCGACAUCCUUUCACUGCUCUUGUUCCUCGCCGCGACACGCGAUCGACACUUCUCGUUGCGCUCCGCCUCGUACUCUCUGGCAACCCUAG
rnacentral:misc_RNA from 1 species